rnacentral:rRNA from 1 species
UACGUAGGGUACAAGCGUUGUCCGGAAUUAUUGGGCGUAAAGAGCUCGUAGGUGGUCUGUCACGUCUGCUGUGGAAACGCAAGGCUCAACCUUGCGCGUGCAGUGGGUACGGGCGGACUAGAGUGCAGUAGGGGAGUCUGGAAUUCCUGGUGUAGCGGUGAAAUGCGCAGAUAUCAGGAGGAACACCGGUGGCGAAGGCGGGACUCUGGGCUGUGAACUGACGCUGGAGGAGCGAAAGCAUGGGGAGCGAACAGGGA